GGUACAGGUGCGUGAGGCCUAAUGUUGCUGAGAUUGCUGAGUAACUAGCUGAGAAGCUUGGCUGUCUCAUCGGGUUGUGCCUAUGCGACUAUUCAAUAGUUGCCCUCUAAAUAUACUUAGUUAAAGAUUUACGCCUAAUAUGAUUAGUCGUGGUAUUUGAGCAGGUCUCUUAUGAGAAUAGGUGCAAGAUUAUGUGUGAACAUGCUAUGUAUCAUAUGUUAGGCAGUGGUCUAAUGUACAGGUAGACCUGGAGCACAGAGGUAGCACAAAAUAAUUAAAACAUAAACAAAUCAGAAAUAAACCAUGGACAGAAACAUUCGGAUGCCUUUGAUUGCAUUCACGUGGGGAAGUACAGUGAGGCUGGCAUUAGUGAGUGCGAGUCCCAUCCGUGACGGUUGCCGCUUGUGAUCA